CCUACGGGGUGCUGCAGUGGGGAAUAUUGGACAAUGGGCGAAAGCCUGAUCCAGCCAUGCCGCGUGUGUGAAGAAGGCCUUCGGGUUGUAAAGCACUUUCAGUGGGGAAGAAAGCCUUGGGGCUAAUACCCUCGAGGAAGGACAUCACCCACAGAAGAAGCACCGGCUAACUCCGUGCCAGCAGCCGCGGUAAUACGGAGGGUGCGAGCGUUAAUCGGAAUUACUGGGCGUAAAGCGCGCGUAGGCGGUCUGAUAAGCCGGUUGUGAAAGCCCCGGGCUCAACCUGGGAACGGCAUCCGGAACUGUCAGGCUAGAGUGCAGGAGAGGAAGGUAGAAUUCCCGGUGUAGCGGUGAAAUGCGUAGAGAUCGGGAGGAAUACCAGUGGCGAAGGCGGCCUUCUGGACUGACACUGACGCCGAGGUGCGAAAGCGUGGGUAGCAAACAGGAUUAGAUACCCCAGUAGUC
rnacentral:rRNA from 1 species